CCCACGGCUCACGCCGAGGGCUAGACCCCUUCGCCCCUCCGGGGCU
rnacentral:sRNA from 1 species